UCCGAGUUGACCCCGGCAGUCUCCUACGAGUCCCCGGCAUGAUCCGCUGGCAACAUAGGACAAGGGUUGCGCUCGUUGCGGGACUUAACCCAACAUCUCACGACACGAGCUGACGACAGCCAUGCACCACCUGCACACAGGCCACAAGGGAACCGACAUCUCUGCCGGCGUCCUGUGCAUGUCAAACCCAGGUAAGGUUCUUCGCGUUGCAUCGAAUUAAUCCACAUGCUCCACCGCUUGUGCAGGCCCCCGUCAAUUCUUUUGAGUUUUAGCCUUGCGGCCGUACUCCCCAGGCGGAACACUUAUCGCGUUGGCUUCGGCACAGACAGAUUCGACUCCGCCCACACCUAGUGUUCAUCGUUUACGGCGUGGACUAC
rnacentral:misc_RNA from 1 species